rnacentral:rRNA from 1 species
UACGGGGGGGGCAAGCGUUGUUCGGAAUUACUGGGCGUAAAGGGCUCGUAGGCGGCCAACUAAGUCGGACGUGAAAUCCCCAGGCUCAACCUGGGAACUGCAUCCGAUACUGGAUGGCUUGAAUUCGGGAGAGGGAUGCAGAAUUCCAGGUGUAGCGGUGAAAUGCGUAGAUAUCAGGAAGAACACCCGUGGCGAAAGCGGCUCUCUGGAACGGUACUGACGCUGAGACGCGAAAGCGUGGGGAGCGAACAGG